rnacentral:piRNA from 1 species
GCUUUUCNCACAGACAGAUAAGCCUACCUGG